rnacentral:rRNA from 1 species
UUAAGCGACUAAGCGUACACGGUGGAUGCCCUGGCAGUCAGAGGCGAUGAAGGACGUGCUAAUCUGCGAUAAGCGUCGGUAAGGUGAUAUGAACCGUUAUAACCGGCGAUUUCCGAAUGGGGAAACCCAGUGUGAUUCGUCACACUAUCAUUAACUGAAUCCAUAGGUUAAUGAGGCGAACCGGGGGAACUGAAACAUCUAAGUACCCCGAGGAAAAGAAAUCAACCGAGAUUCCCCCAGUAGCGGCGAGCGAACGGGGAGGAGCCCAGAGCCUGAAUCAGUGUGUGUGUUAGUGGAAGCGUCUGGAAAGGCGCGCGAUACAGGGGACAGCCCCGUACACAAAAAUGCACAUGCUGUGAGCUCGAUGAGUAGGGCGGGACACGUGGUAUCCUGUCUGAAUAUGGGGGACCAUCCUCCAAGGCUAAAUACUCCUGACUGACCGAUAGUGAACCAGUACCGUGAGGGAAAGGCGAAAAGAACCCCGGCGAGGGGAGUGAAAAAGAACCUGAAACCGUGUACGUACAAGCAGUGGGAGCACAGAGCAAUCUGUGUGACUGCGUACCUUUUGUAUAAUGGGUCAGCGACUUAUAUUCUGUAGCAAGGUUAACCGAAUAGGGGAGCCGAAGGGAAACCGAGUCUUAACCGGGCGUUAAGUUGCAGGGUAUAGACCCGAAACCCGGUGAUCUAGCCAUGGGCAGGUUGAAGGUUGGGUAACACUAACUGGAGGACCGAACCGACUAAUGUUGAAAAAUUAGCGGAUGACUUGUGGCUGGGGGUGAAAGGCCAAUCAAACCGGGAGAUAGCUGGUUCUCCCCGAAAGCUAUUUAGGUAGCGCCUCGUGAAUUCAUCUCCGGGGGUAGAGCACUGUUUCGGCAAGGGGGUCAUCCCGACUUACCAACCCGAUGCAAACUGCGAAUACCGGAGAAUGUUAUCACGGGAGACACACGGCGGGUGCUAACGUCCGUCGUGAAGAGGGAAACAACCCAGACCGCCAGCUAAGGUCCCAAAGUCAUGGUUAAGUGGGAAACGAUGUGGGAAGGCCCAGACAGCCAGGAUGUUGGCUUAGAAGCAGCCAUCAUUUAAAGAAAGCGUAAUAGCUCACUGGUCGAGUCGGCCUGCGCGGAAGAUGUAACGGGGCUAAACCAUGCACCGAAGCUGCGGCAGCGACACUGUGUGUUGUUGGGUAGGGGAGCGUUCUGUAAGCCUGUGAAGGUGUGCUGUGAGGCAUGCUGGAGGUAUCAGAAGUGCGAAUGCUGACAUAAGUAACGAUAAAGCGGGUGAAAAGCCCGCUCGCCGGAAGACCAAGGGUUCCUGUCCAACGUUAAUCGGGGCAGGGUGAGUCGACCCCUAAGGCGAGGCCGAAAGGCGUAGUCGAUGGGAAACAGGUUAAUAUUCCUGUACUUGGUGUUACUGCGAAGGGGGGACGGAGAAGGCUAUGUUGGCCGGGCGACGGUUGUCCCGGUUUAAGCGUGUAGGCUGGUUUUCCAGGCAAAUCCGGAAAAUCAAGGCUGAGGCGUGAUGACGAGGCACUACGGUGCUGAAGCAACAAAUGCCCUGCUUCCAGGAAAAGCCUCUAAGCAUCAGGUAACAUCAAAUCGUACCCCAAACCGACACAGGUGGUCAGGUAGAGAAUACCAAGGCGCUUGAGAGAACUCGGGUGAAGGAACUAGGCAAAAUGGUGCCGUAACUUCGGGAGAAGGCACGCUGAUAUGUAGGUGAAGUCCCUCGCGGAUGGAGCUGAAAUCAGUCGAAGAUACCAGCUGGCUGCAACUGCUUAUUAAAAACACAGCACUGUGCAAACACGAAAGUGGACGUAUACGGUGUGACGCCUGCCCGGUGCCGGAAGGUUAAUUGAUGGGGUCAGCGCAAGCGAAGCUCUUGAUCGAAGCCCCGGUAAACGGCGGCCGUAACUAUAACGGUCCUAAGGUAGCGAAAUUCCUUGUCGGGUAAGUUCCGACCUGCACGAAUGGCGUAAUGAUGGCCAGGCUGUCUCCACCCGAGACUCAGUGAAAUUGAACUCGCUGUGAAGAUGCAGUGUACCCGCGGCAAGACGGAAAGACCCCGUGAACCUUUACUAUAGCUUGACACUGAACAUUGAGCCUUGAUGUGUAGGAUAGGUGGGAGGCUUUGAAGUGUGGACGCCAGUCUGCAUGGAGCCGACCUUGAAAUACCACCCUUUAAUGUUUGAUGUUCUAACGUGGACCCGUGAUCCGGGUUGCGGACAGUGUCUGGUGGGUAGUUUGACUGGGGCGGUCUCCUCCUAAAGAGUAACGGAGGAGCACGAAGGUUGGCUAAUCCUGGUCGGACAUCAGGAGGUUAGUGCAAUGGCAUAAGCCAGCUUGACUGCGAGCGUGACGGCGCGAGCAGGUGCGAAAGCAGGUCAUAGUGAUCCGGUGGUUCUGAAUGGAAGGGCCAUCGCUCAACGGAUAAAAGGUACUCCGGGGAUAACAGGCUGAUACCGCCCAAGAGUUCAUAUCGACGGCGGUGUUUGGCACCUCGAUGUCGGCUCAUCACAUCCUGGGGCUGAAGUAGGUCCCAAGGGUAUGGCUGUUCGCCAUUUAAAGUGGUACGCGAGCUGGGUUUAGAACGUCGUGAGACAGUUCGGUCCCUAUCUGCCGUGGGCGCUGGAGAACUGAGGGGGGCUGCUCCUAGUACGAGAGGACCGGAGUGGACGCAUCACUGGUGUUCGGGUUGUCAUGCCAAUGGCACUGCCCGGUAGCUAAAUGCGGAAGAGAUAAGUGCUGAAAGCAUCUAAGCACGAAACUUGCCCCGAGAUGAGUUCUCCCUGACCCUUUAAGGGUCCUGAAGGAACGUUGAAGACGACGACGUUGAUAGGCCGGGUGUGUAAGCGCAGCGAUGCGUUGAGCUAACCGGUACUAAUGAACCGUGAGGCUUAACCUU